UUGUCCUUCCAUAAUUAUUUGCUUGUAAACAUUCAAACUAAAAGGGUAAUUGAAUUAAACCGAGUCCGUAAGAAGUAUUUCUGGAAUUUGAUUCGAUUACUAAUAAAAUUUAAUUUUAUUUACUAUUUUUGAAUUAUAGCUUAAGUAAAUUGAAUAAGCUCAAGUGAUAAGCUAUUAUAUAAAUAUUAAAAUAUUAUUUGAAAUUAUUAUAAAAAUUAGAAUGAUUGAUUAUGUGGAAGCCUUGCGAUCCGGACUUCUUAUUAUAGGUGGAGUAGCGAAGCCUCUUUCUUGAUCCAAAGCAAAUCCUAACCAAAAGAGAAAGCCUGUGCUAGGCCUGAAUAAUGGAACUUGCGGAAGGUCCAAAAAACAGAACGUUACAUCUCGGGUGACUCAAAACAGAUACCGGGUUAGGUUUCGGGUUCGAGUCCCGUUCCGGGUCCAUUUAACCUACCCCUCUGGGACCAAGCUUAGCUGGCACACUUCCCACCUAAUACCAACAACCACCGCCACCUCCACCGUCGCCACCACCACUAGCACCACCCAACCCAAACGACAAAAAACCACAUGCCUAAACUCAGCAAAACCUAAUCCUCACUCCCACAAUGUCCACACCAUCCCCAUCUCCCUCUCCACCUCCGCCACCAGAACCACCAUCACAGUCACCAACCUCAAACCCCAGACCUCUCUCCACCAAGAAACCGCAACCCGUCCCCUGGACCCACCAAGAAACAGUCCACCUAAUCCAAGCUUACCAGGAAAAAUGGUACUCUUUAAAACGAGGACAGCUUAAGGCCAGCCAGUGGGAAGAGGUGGCUGUAACCGUCGCCGCCCGCUGCGGCUACGAAUACAAUCACCCAGCAAAAACUGUCAUUCAGUGCCGCCACAAGAUGGAGAAGCUCCGAAAACGGUUCCGCGAGGAGAGACGGCGUAUCUCUCUCACCGGCGCUUGUUCCUGGCAGUACUUUGACCUCAUGGAAUCGUUGGAAAGGGGACCGAUGCCUAUCUCUGCACGGCCUUUGGCUCUUCUACCUCCUAAUGACACUGGUGAUGAAGAUGAUGAAGACAAUGAGGAGGAAGCAGAGGUGGAAGUCGACGAGGAAGAAGAAGAGGAAGAGGAUUACGGGUAUAGAAGUAAGUCGCGGAGUAUUAAUUACAUACUGCGAAAACCCACCAUCGUCAAUCGGUUUGCGGGGAGUAAUUCUGGGUUUUCGCGAGAGGCGGUGAAUAAGAGGAAGAGAGAGGAAAUGGUAGAGGAGGAGUACGACGAUGACGAUGAUGAAGAAGGAGGAAGAGGAGAUAGAAGGAAAGGGGUGGAAAUGGGAUUGGCAGGGGAAAUAAGGGCAUUUGCGGAGAGAAUAGUGGGGAUGGAGAGGAAAAAGAUAGAGAUGAUGAAGGAGACUGAGAAGUGGAGAAUGGAGAUGGAGAAUAAGCGGAUGGAGAUGAUAUUAGAUUCGCAGAGGAAGAUUGUUUCUAUGAUUUCAGCUGCUUUUGGUUCACAGGGCGACUUGGAGAUGGAGCAAGAAUUUUGAAGGCAGCAAUAGCAUGACCAAUGAUCAGAACCAUAGUGGCAUUUUACUCAUCUGAUCUGAAAAUCACUACAAUAUAGGAGAUAGAUUUUCAAGGUCUAGGGAUUACAAGUUGCAUUUACAUUCUAGAGAAGAGUUCAGAUUCAGAUUUUGUGCAGCUCGGGCAGGACAUUCGAUGCUCGACAUUGGAUAUAAUCAAAUCUUCUUAAUCAACAUCAGAUUUUAUUCACAAUGUGUACUACAUACACUCUCUAGUAAAUAUGGUCAUUCUUAAUCUUAUCAAUUGUUAUAAUAUUAGAUAAUACACUUAAUAUACACAUUUCUCGACACUCAUCUAAUGGGUAUGUUAUACCUUAGAUGCUUAAUAUUUGCUACUAUAUAAUAUAAUGUCCCUAACACUAUGUUUGGGAGGAGGUUUUGGAUAGUAA